rfam:Exidia glandulosa HHB12029 unplaced genomic scaffold EXIGLscaffold_98, whole genome shotgun sequence.
GGAGGGAUGGCCGAGUGGUUGAAGGCGUCAGACUUAAGUUCUGAUUUCGUAAGAAAUCGCGGGUUCAAAUCCCGCUCCCUUCA